GUGACCUCAAAUCAGGUAGGACUACCCGCUGAACUUAAGCAUAUCAAUAAGCGGAGGAAAAGAAACUAACAAGGAUUCCCCUAGUAACUGCGAGUGAAGCGGGAAAAGCUCAAAUUUAAAAUCUGGCGGUCUUUUGGCUGUCCGAGUUGUAAUCUAGAGAAGUGUUAUCCGCGCUGGACCGUGUACAAGUCUCCUGGAAUGGAGCAUCAUAGAGGGUGAGAAUCCCGUCUUUGACAUGGACUGCCAGGGCUUUGUGAUGCGCUCUCAAAGAGUCGAGUUGUAUGGGAAUGCAGCUCAAAAUGGGUGGUAAAUUCCAUCUAAAGCUAAAUAUUGGCGAGAGACCGAUAGCGAAC
rnacentral:rRNA from 1 species